UACGAAGGGGGCUAGCGUUGCUCGGAUUGACUGGGCGUAAAGGGCGCGUAGGCGGUUCGUACAGUCAGACGUGAAAUUCCUGGGCUCAACCUGGGGGCUGCGUUUGAUACGUGCGGACUUGAGUGCGGAAGAGGGUCGUGGAAUUCCCAGUGUAGAGGUGAAAUUCGUAGAUAUUGGGAAGAACACCGGUGGCGAAGGCGGCGACCUGGUCCGAUACUGACGCUGAGGCGCGAAAGCGUGGAGAGCAAACAGG
rnacentral:rRNA from 1 species